GACGAACGCUGGCGGCGUGCUUAACACAUGCAAGUCGAGCGGAAAGGCCCUUCGGGGGACUCGUGCGGCGAACGGGAGAGUAACACGAGCGUAACCUUCCCCAGACUUUGGGUUAACCCUAAGUUACGGAGGCUAAUACUGAUAACGGAUCGGCGCUCCAUGUGGUUUGUGUGGAUUGUUUUGUUUCUGCGGUUGGGGAUGGGCUCGCGGCUUAUCAGCUUGUUGGUGGGGUAGUGGCAUACCAAGGCUUUGACGGGUAGCCGGCCUGAGAGGGUGACCGGCCACACUGGGACUGAGAUACGGCCCAGACUCCUACGGGAGGCAGCAGUGGGGAAUAUUGCACAAUGGGCGGAAGCCUGAUGCAGCAACGCCGCGUGCGGGAUGACGGCCUUCGGGUUGUAAACCGCUUUCGGCAGUGACGAAGCGUGAGUGACGGUAACUGGAGAAGAAGCACCGGCUAACUACGUG
rnacentral:rRNA from 1 species